rnacentral:tRNA from 1 species
AGGCACGUAGCUCAGCGGCAGAGCACUACCUUGACACGGUAGGGGUCGGCGGUUCAAACCCGCCCGUGCCUA